CCCUUAGAUGUUCUGGGCUGCACGCGCGCUACACUGAUGCGCUCAACGAGUUUACGACCUUGCCCGGAAGGGUUGGGUAAUCUUUUUAAAACGCAUCGUGAUGGGGAUAGAUUAUUGCAAUUAUUAAUCUUUAACGAGGAAUUCCUAGUAAGCGCGAGUCAUCAGCUCGUGCUGAUUACGUCCCUGCCCUUUGUACACACCGCCCGUCGCCCCUACCGAUUGAGUGAUCCGGUGAAUAAUUCGGACUGCAGCAGUGUUCAGUUCCUGAACGUUGCAGCGGAAAGUUUAGUGAACCUUAUCACUUAGAGGAAGGAGAAGUCGUAACA
rnacentral:rRNA from 1 species